UACGGAAGGCAGCAGUGGGGAAUAUUGCACAAUGGGCGAAAGCCUGAUGCAGCUAUGCCGCGUGUAUGAAGAAGGCCUUAGGGUUGUAAAGUACUUUCAUCGGGGAGGAAAAAACAAAACUAAUAAUUUUAUUUCUUGACGUUACCCGAAAAAGAAGCACCGGCUAACUCCGUGCCAGCAGCCGCGGUAAUACGGAGGGUGCUAGCGUUAAUCGGAAUUACUGGGCGUAAAGGGCACGCAGGCGGUUAAUUAAGUUGGAUGUGAAAUCCCCGGGCUUAACCUGGGAAUGGCAUUCAAGACUGGUUUAGCUAGAGUCUUGUAGAGGGGGUAGGAAUUCCAUGUGUAGCGGUGAAAUGCGUAGAGAUGUGGAGGAAUACCGGUGGCGAAGGCGGCCCCUGGACAAAGACUGACGCUCAUGUGCGAAAGCGUGGGGAGCAAACAGGGAUUAGAUACC
rnacentral:rRNA from 1 species